UUUUAUAUUCUUCAUUAUUUUCACUUAUGCCAAUUUCUUUUUCUUCAGUAGGGCUUACAUGAUCACAACUUGAUGCGAUUUGAGCACUUGGUUCCUGCAGGGCACCCUUACCACCUUCUUUUCCAGCUUUUUCAGGUAGAGACCGUCCACAGAGUUCCCCACACUGUUUGGCUGCAGAACAUGUUCUAGGAUCAAGGCAUUGUCUGUCAGAGACAGUUUGUCACUGGCACUUACCUGAAAGAACGAUCAAUAAUAGUUAACACAUCUCCGUGCUUCAGAGGUACAGGUUGCUGAAAACAGCUACCGUUCAGCUGCGUAGGAUUUACUGUACUUAAAUUUGUCAAGAUUGCCUAGAAAUAAAACAAAAAUUUCAGUAGCCCGAUGAGAUGCAACAAUGCAAUACAAAUGUCAUUAAAAUAUGCAUAUCUUA